UAUUUUGGAAUAACUUUAGGUUUACAGAAUAGUUGCGAAGAUAGGAACUCUCUGUACUAUCUACCCCUCACCCAGAUUCCCCUAUUAAUAUCUUACAUAACCACGGUAUAGUUGUCAAAACUCAAACUAAAAUUUCUACCUUACUAUUAACUAAACUCCACACUUCAUUAGGAUUUCACUAGUGUUUCCACUAAUAUCCUUUUUCUAGUCUAGGACCCAGUCCAGGAGACCACAUUGUAUUGAGUCAUUUCCUUAAUCUCUUUCCUUGUUUUUCAUGAUAUUGACAAUUUGGGGCAGUACUGGUCAGACAUUUUGUAGAAUGUUUCUCCAUCUGGGUUUGUCUGACUUUUUCUUUUCAUGAAUAGACUGGGAUUAUAGGUUUGGGGAAGAACACGACAGAAGAGAAGGGCUGUUCUUCUCACAUUACAUUGGGAAUACAUGGUAUCAACAUGCCUUACCUCUGGCAAUAUUCACCUCAAUAGCUGGCCAAGUUGAGGUUUACUGGGUUCCCCAGUGUGACGUUACCUUUCCUCCCUGUUGCCAUUCUCUAUUUGUCAGGAAGUCCCUAAGUCCAACACACACUCGACAAGGAGGGGGUAAGUGUCGGGUAGGAUAGAGAGAUCCAUCUCCUGAAGGGGAUUAUCUGCAUAAAUUAUUUGGAAUUCCUCUGUAAGGAAGAUUUGUCUCUUUUCUCCUCUUUAUUUGCUCAAUCAUAUACUUAUAUCAGUGGAGACAUGCAUUUUUUUUAAUACUUUUGCUUAUAGUUUAUUACUUCAUUAUUAAUUUUAUGAGUCAAAAUGUCCUGGCUUUGGCCAUUGGGAGCUUUUUCAAAUUGCUGCCUGUGUCCCUUUGACAGUCCCUCAUCCUUUUGUUUUUUGAGUACUUCCUUACUUUCUGCUCCACAUUCAUAAUCAGCCAUUUCUCCAAGGAGCCAUAGUUUCUUUUACAGGAAAAUCAUAUUUAGAAGCCAAGAUCUGGGCAACCAACAAGCUUUUGACAAUUUUCAAUCUCAGUUAUGAGAUUGUUGCUCUAAAUAUCCCUUGAGCUAACUUUUUGCACAUAUCCAUGAUUAUUCCCUAUGAUAAGUGCCUAGAGGUUGAAUUGCUGGGUUAAAGGGAAUGUAACAUUUUAAGCCUUUCAAUACAUUGCCAAGUUGUCUUCUAGAAAGAUUAUAUAUUUUUAUAUAGCUCUGAGUGGUAUGGAAAUUAGCAGUUUUGAGUUUUGAACACCCAAUAAACUUCAUUUCCCUACCAAAUGUGUAUCUUAACUCAUCUUCACUGCCAACAUGCUAGUCUAAGCCAAACUCCCUCUUGCCUGGAUUACUGCAACGGCCUUGUAACUAGUCUCCUCCUCCUCUCCCACCAUCUCUAUCCUUUAGAGAAAAGUCAGAACAAUGUUUUGAAA
rnacentral:lncRNA from 1 species